AUGGCAACUUUGGUGGUGAAAUCAUGCCACCCCCCUCCCUCCGUGCCAUGGGAUGCAAGCAAAGCUCCAACUUUGGUAGCACCACAGCAAGAAAAAGGAAGCAACUAUGGAUGGGGGGCACACACCUUGGCUUUGCUUAAGUUACCAUGCAUCUCCCACAACUCGAAGCCCGGCAUCAUGAGGAAUCAUCACCGCAUCUGCAUCUGCAACACCGAUCAUCGAUCCAUGUAUUUGAUCGACCGAUCGAGUGCGUGCCCGUGCGCGCGGUGGUCGACCGAUCGGUCGAUCAAUCCUUGGCUUGAAGAAACGAGCAAAGUUGGUGCAAAGUGA
rnacentral:rRNA from 1 species